GACAGAGGUGCCAAGCGUUAGGCGGAAUCACUGGGCUUAAAGCGUGUGUAGGCGGGCGAUCAAGUACCUUGUGAAAUCCCACGGCUCAACCGUGGAACUGCUGGGUAUACUGGUUGUCUUGAGCCAGCUAGGGGCGAGCGGAACAGACGGUGGAGCGGUGAAAUGCGUAGAGAUGUGGAGGAACACCAGUGGCGAAGGCGACUCUUUGGCCUGUAACUGACGCUGAGGCGCGAAAGCGUGGGGAGCAAACAGG
rnacentral:rRNA from 1 species